CGUCCUAUUAGCUAGUUGGUGAGGUAAUGGCUCACCAAGGCUACGAUGGGUAGGGGUUCUUAGUGGAAGGUCCCCCACACUGGCACUGAGAUACGGGCCAGACUCCUACGGGAGGCAGCAGUAGGGAAUAUUGGUCAAUGGGCGCAAGCCUGAACCAGCCAUGCCGCGUGCAGGAUGAAGGCUCUCUGAGUUAUAAACUGCUUUUGUACAGGAGCAAAAAAAUCCCUGCGGGGGUUCUUGAGAGUACUGUAAGAAUAAGCACCGGCUAAUUCCGUGCCAGCAGCCGCGGUAAUACGGGAGGUGCAAGCGUUAUCCGGUUUUAUUGGGUUUAAAGGGUGCGUAGGCGGCUUAUUAAGUCAGUUGUGAAAUCCUAGUGCUUAACGCUAGAACUGCGAUUGAUACUAUU
rnacentral:rRNA from 1 species